rnacentral:lncRNA from 1 species
CCUUUCAAAUCUUAUCUUUGAUUUUAAUUUUAAAGCUAUCAAUUCUUUACUUUUCCAAUUUUAAUUCUUUAUUUUUCUUUUUCUAAUUUAAAUUUUUAAUUUUUAAAUUAUUAUUAUUAUUUUUAUGUAAUUUCUAUUUUUAAAAAUUUUUUAAUCGAGCAUUAAAUGUGAAUGUGAUGUGCCACCAAAUGGCUUAAGAGCAUUCUAACGAUAAUUCUUCAUUGCAUAAGAUUGCAGUAAUAGAGAAAUGAUGAGAAGUAAGAAAUCUAUUUUUUUCAUCUCCAUUCUAAUGCCACAAGGAAGGGAGACCCAUGCAUCUGCUCUCAUAGAGAGAUAGGCAAACAGUACACAACACACAUUUUCAAACCUACUGCAACCCUCCUUCACAUCCCCAUGUCUUCUCAAAUUCUGGAUGCGUCUUUAAUUGCUAAUGAGGUGAUUGAUUCGUGGCAGAAGAGGAAAGAAAAGGGUCUUAUUUGCAAAUUGGAUAUAGAAAAAGCUUACGAUAGCAUCAAUUGGAAUUUCUUAAUGAAGGUCCUCCAAAAAAUGGGCUUUGGGCCCAAGUGGAUGGGAUGGAUGUGGAGUUGCGUUUCCUCUGCUAAAUUCUCCAUUCUUGUUAAUGGAGUGCCAGCUGGGUUCUUCCCUAGCACUAGAGGGCUUCGUCAAGGGGACCCCCUUUCCCCUUAUCUCUUUGUUAUGGGAAUGGAGGUUCUGGACGUCCUUAUCAGGAGAGCGGUGGAGGGGGGUUAUCUUUCAGGGUGCAGUAUUCGGGGUGGCAGUAGAACAUCCUUGAAUAUUUCCCACCUAUUUUUUGCUGAUGACACAAUUGUGUUUUGUGAGGCGAGCAAAGAGCAAGUUUCUCACCUAAGCUGGAUUCUCUUUUGGUUUGAAGCGGCUUCCGGUCUUCGGAUUAAUCUAGCCAAAAGUGAGAUCAUUCCAGUUGGAGACGUGGAGGAUAUUCUUGAGUUGGCAGCUGAGUUAGGUGGCAGGGUGGGGUCUUUGCCCUCUCAUUAUUUGGGCCUCCCCUUAGGGGUCCCCAAUAGGGCUACUUCUAUGUGGGAUGGGGUGGAAGAGAGGAUCAGGAGGAGACUUGCGCUUUGGAAAAGACAGUACCUAUCCAAAGGGGGGAGGAUCACUCUCAUAAAAAGCACCUUGGCUAGCUUGCCAAUUUACCAACUGUCUAUUUUCCGAAUGCCUAAGUCUGUUGCUAAAAGAGUGGAAAAAACCCAAAGAGAUUUCCUAUGGGGGGGAGGAAACUUGGAGGGAAAAGUUCAUCUAGUUAAAUGGGAUGCGGUCUGUACAGAGAAACACAAGGGAGGGCUAGGAUUAAGGAGAAUAGCCACUCUGAAUAGAGCCUUGCUAGGAAAGUGGAUUUGGAGGUUCGCUUGUGAAAAGAAUAAUUUCUGGAACCAAGUGAUCACUACAAAAUAUGGGCAAGAGGAUUAUGGCUGGAGGCCAAAGAAGGUCCGUGGGGCGGCUGGAGUAGGGGUCUGGAAGGAGAUCAUGAAGGAAUCUGAUUGGUGCUGGGAAAAUUUGGCAUUUAUAGUUGGGAAGGGUUCCAAAAUCAAAUUUUGGAAAGAUAGAUGGUGCACUGACAUUCCGUUGUCCCAAUGCUUCAAUCAUCUCUUUGUCCUUGCCGUGCAUAGGGAUGCUACGAUUGAGGAGAUGUGGGAUCAGGAUUCGGGCCAAGGGGAUUGGAAGCUUGUUUUUGUGAGGGACUUCAAUGAUUGGGAGAUGGAUAUGGUUGGAGAGCUGCUUCAUACUUUGAGGGGUUACAGGCCCUCCUUGGAGGAUGAUUCAGUUGUGUGGAGGCAGGAAAGAAAUGGUAUUUUCAAAAUCAAAGAAGCUUACAGGCUGUUGGACAAGCCUAAUGUCACAGUAUUUCCCGCAAGGAGAAUAUGGGUGGAUAGGGUGCCAACUAAAGUCUGUUUUUUUGCUUGGGAGGCUACGUGGGGGAAGGUGCUUACUCUGGAUAGACUCCAGUUAAGAGGGGUGCAUCUCCCGAAUUGCUGCUUUCUGUGUGGUUGUGAAGAAGAGAAUGUAAAUCAUAUUCUUUUACACUGUAUAGUGACUAGAGCCCUUUGGGAUAUUAUUUUUGGGUUGAUAGAUGUUAAGUGGGUCCUCCCAGAAACUGUAAAGGAGACUUUAAUCUCCUGGAGGGGCUCAUUUGUAGGGAAGAAAAGGAAAAAGAUUUGGAAAUCCAUUCCGUUAUGUAUUUUUUGGACGGUUUGGAAGGAGAGGAAUAGGUUAGCCUUUAGGGGGGGUGAGUUGAAUAUUCAAAAAUUAAAGUAUUCUUUUGUCUGUAACUUGUGGAAUUGGGCCAAAGUGUAUCUAGGUGAGGAGUCUUUCUCCCUCAUAGGUUUUUUGGAGUGGAUAGCUUCCACUUAAGGGGAGGUAGUUUCUUUCUGGUCCCUUCUCUUUUUUGAGGCUUUAGCCGUCUUGUAUACUCCCUGUAUGCUUUGUGGCGUUUAGCCUUUUCUAAUACAUAUCUUGUUUACUUAUCAAAAAAAAAAAAAAAAAACAUCCCCAUGUCUUCUCCACAACCACCCACUUGGCAAGUUCUCCAAACUCACUACAACUCCACACAAAAACCCAUAUAUCUCCUCCCAAAACCCCAUGCUAAAUCUCCCUUGAAAAGCCCAUGCAUCUCCUCCUACCAUAGCAAGAUACAUAACAAAGGACCCAUGCAAAACCCAUUUUCCCAUUCUUCCUACAAGGUACAACACAAAUACUGUCAACCCACCUUCUCCUCCCUCCAUCAUCUUUAUCACAAACAAGUAACCUCACCAUCAUCACCUCCAUGGCAAGGAUAACACCACCAUCGCCUACGUGGCAAGGAUAACACUAUCGUCACCUUCAUAUAUCUACCCACAUAUGCACCCAAAAAAUCUUCAAGUUAUCAAAGACAUAUAGUCGGUAUUUCAUGUAAUUUUGGCCUAAACCAGUCAAAAGCAGUGAUUUUUUCCACAAUGUUGAUAUAUCACCUAUAUAUCAACGACUUUUAUUGAUUGUUUCUGAUUUUUCUAUAGUUUGAUCUUUCUAACCCUUGCUUCAUUUUGGACCUCCCCGACAUGUGAUAUUUUCACUGAUUUUUCCCAAAGCUUUUGUCCAUGGUUCCAGGUUUUUACAAGUAUUGCCUAUGAAUACGAUCUGACUCACUGGAUAAAGCUACUGGUUGAUACCCUUUACAUGGGGUAGAACUCUAACACAACUUAGAAGAUCAACCACUACACCACACACUUUGGUCACUGCAAUGAAUAGAAUUUACCCCUGCAAUGGAGGACUUAAGCAUUCUACUUAAAGCUUAAUGCUGUCUUGGAUGAUCCCUUGUCCAUUCAGCUAUAUUAGAGAGAGGGGGGUUGAUGACUUCCUCCAUGCAUCUUUUACCACGUCUAAGAAACUGAAAUUGUGUCACUGGUAACAAUGAGCAGGCUGGAAAAGAUGUCCACUUCAAGAGCUAGACUCAAUAUGAUUUUUAAGGACAUAAACCCAUAUAAAAAGGAAAAGUUACACUGGCCAAGAAGCAUAAGGUAAGGACAGGGGCAAUACCCCUAUUCUUGUCUAUGAGGAUGCUGGAAAUGACAUCCAAAUAGUAUACCAAGAGCCAUGUCCUCCCAUUCACCAUCAGCAUUGCUCAAGGCUUCAGAUUUCCCCUUAACUCACUCUCUUUAAGCAUUUUUACAUCUGGCAUAAUUCACUGACCAGCAACAAGAAUUCACCUAUGGGUCAGCAUCUGAUCAUGAUUUAUGUAUGCCUGAGGGCAUUUCUUUAAACAUUCCUAUUUGAUUAUUCAUGCAAUUAUACUUCCUACUCUUGAUUCUACCCAGCACUGCAUCAAGGAUGAUUGGUGAUGAGAUCAUAGUGUGCCAGCUAGUCCCAAGGUUUGUUGUUGCUCCUCAUGGGACAAUUCACUGUUGUCAGCCACCAAGAAACUCUUCACUUUCUUUGACCAAAAAGAAGAGCUCAUUUUGAAGUCGCAGACCACCUUGCCAACCCCAGUUAAAGGCUUGAUUUUUCUAUCCCAAAAACCUUAUCAAUGUGGAUAUGGCACAUGUAUUUUUAUUUUUAUUUUUAUAAAAGUGGAUAUGACACAUGUAGAAGUAAUAUCAUCUAUUUGUCACCUUAUACUGCUCCAGUCUCCCGACUCCCAAGAAUGAUAAUUUCACAGGUAAUCAUGACCUACAGCCUACAUUAGGUUUGAAGGUAAUUAAUAUGAUCAGGUGUGGCUAAUCCCUACUGCCCUACAUUAUGAUCUUUAUAUACACAAAAGUUUGACAGCAAUAGACCGAGCUGUGAAGUCAAAGGAUUUGCAGGGGAGGCAAAGACAGGUACAUCGAAGGAACCCACUAUUACUCUUCAUCUCAUGCCAAGCAACUCAAGGUCUAAGGCACCCUAGGCUUCUUUGACCAUUUCUUGAGUCUAGGCUAUGACUAAGAGGAACUUUCUCUUGUGAUGCCCCAUGAUUGAUGGGAGGGCAUAGGAGCUACCUUUGGAGACAUCAUGAUAUCUUACAGGGCUAAUCCAAAUGACCUCAAGUCGGUCUAGGAGAAUCUACAACCAUUCAAUGCCCUGGUUCUGCUCACCAAGUUUAUGGUAAGGGGAAGGACUUCUCUCUAAUAGUUCAAAUCAAUGAGCAUCUUCUUCUGCCACCUUGAGGAGACAAGGAAGCUUGACAUAUCAUAAUGUUGAGCUCACAGCAGUGGAGGAGCUGGGGAAUGAUGUUGAUGGAGUGGAGGAGCUCACAUCUUCUUCUUUCUCACUAUAAACAGAUCUUUUGAUCUUUCUCCACUGUAGGGCCCUCAACUUGCCUAGGGUGUUAAUCCAUUUGCUUUCUCCAAGAAGUGGUCACUUCUUGUCCACUUGGCUCCUAGGCAUUUCGACAAGCCAAAGGCUUCAGGUCAUCAUUAGUAUCAGCAAUUGGGAUGGCCCUAUUACCAUGGAAAAUGCAACACAUGCUUUCCCCACCCUCUAGUUGAGCCGAAGAGAUCAUUAAGCAUCCCAUUCAACAACUGUCAGGCCACGUGCAUUUGUACAGAGGGUGCGGGUGACUGAGACAGUAGCUUCAAUGUGAAGCAAAAGCAAAUAUUCACUAUGUUAGCAACAACAAUGUGGAGAUCAACUGAUGCAAAUAAUCUAAAGGCAGUUGGAGAGGAACCUAGUGAAAGUGAAUUUGUGCUCCAUCAAUAAAACCUUACCUUCUUCCUUAUUGUAACGCUGAGGGCAUGAUUUGGUUUAAUAAAAUUCAAAUAUAAACGAGAAGAUGGAAGUGACGGAUUUGGAGUCCAUGGAAAUAUUAGAUAAGAGAGAGAGAGAAACAAAAGAAGAUAAGGAAAAAAAUAAGGCUUUCGAAGAUUUAGACGAUGAUUUCCAGAAGAAGGCUAUCUUGUAGUCUUUCAUCUUUAACCUCAAUGUGAAGAAGGAUACUCUUUAAUCUUCAUGCUCUCUGUUAAACACAAUCCAGGGCAGUUUUACAUCAAAAUUCUGAGAGUCUUCAGAGUUUUACAUGUAUAUCAACAUUAGCUUGUUGGCUAGAAAAAAACGUAAAGAAAAAUUAUGAAAAACGAAAUGGAAACAAACUCAAAGCGAGCCGAGCAGCGUGAGGUUUUAGUCCUCACAAGCCAAAAUAAUAAUUGAAAAAAAAACUAAAAUACAUACUUCAAGUUCUUC